rfam:Dipodomys ordii contig_3999, whole genome shotgun sequence.
GGGAAGGUGGCUCAGUGGUAGAGUGCUUGCCUUGCAUGCAUGAGGCCCUGGGUUCGAUUCCUCAGCUUAAGCA